rnacentral:rRNA from 1 species
GAUACCCUACUAUACUAAAAAUAAUAUUAAACUAAAUUAUUAAUAGAUAUAUUCUUUAAAUUUAAAGAAUUUGGCGGUGGUUUAGUCUUGUCAGAGGAACCUGUUUUUGAAUCGAUACUCCACGUAAAAUCUUGCUCGUUUUUGUUGUCAGUUUAUAUACCGUCAUUAACAGAUAAUUUUAAAAGAAUAAAUUAUUGAAUUUUAUAAAAUUAAGUUAAAUUAGAUCAAGGUGUAGCUUAUAGAUGAGUUAAAAUGGGUUACAAUAAAAUUUAUUUAUUACGGAAACCAAAUAAAGGAAAAAAGGUAGUAAGGAGGAUUUGAUUGUAAUAUAAAUUUAAUAUGUUUAGAUGAUAUAAGCUCUAAAUCAUGUACAU